AUGAGUUGUUGAAACGGGUUGUUGCUGGCCCCUCUUGGGGGCAUGUGCACGCCUCGCUCACUUCCAUCCCCCCACACUUGUGCACAACCUGUAGUUCUGAGCCGAUGGGGCGCUUACAGGCGCCUCUGACGCCUGGUCCUAUGUUUUUUUUCAACAACACCACAGUUCAUUAGAAUGUGCCUCUGGCGUAUGUAACGCUAAUAAAUA
rnacentral:misc_RNA from 1 species